UCUCUCUCUACGGAAAAGUCGCCGAUUCGAGUUGAUUUCGUGCCGUGCUCGUUGCUCGCUGCCUUGGCGACUCUCGGGAUGCUUCUAGCACAUGGGGAGGAAGUUUUUCUCUGAGUUUUCUAUGAGGAGGUUUUCAGUAGUAACGAGGGAUUCUUUUGACUGUGAAGGAACUACUUUAGCUCAGUAAAAGAGUUGCUGUAAAGCCGAGCAGGUUAUUGAACUCCAUUAAACUAUAUUUAUGACCUCGAGAACUUGUCUACAGGGUGUUCCAGCCAGGGCAGGAUUAUAAUUGACCCUUGUAUCGUUUUCAUCUAGUUGGUGAGAGCUUGUGGAGGCUUAAUUUGAGGGUCGGGGACUAGUUGAGCUACAUCUUGGGACUCUUUUGGACUGAUUUGAGCCUUGUGAUAGAGCCAUCUACAGGAGAGGCUAGGGAUCG